ensembl:snoRNA SNORD28 Small nucleolar RNA SNORD28
GUUGAGCAAUUUGAUUGAUACAUGGAUCAUCUGUGAGGUACCACAAUUAAUAGCAUGUUAGUUUUAAAGGCA